UACGAAGGGGGCUAGCGUUGCUCGGAAUCACUGGGCGUAAAGCGCACGCAGGCGGGUCUUUAAGUCAGGGGUGAAAUCCUGGAGCUCAACUCCAGAACUGCCUUUGAUACUGAAGAUCUCGAGUCCGGAAGAGGUGAGUGGAACUCCGAGUGUAGAGGUGAAAUUCGUAGAUAUUCGGAAGAACACCAGUGGCGAAGGCGGCUCACUGGUCCGGUACUGACGCUGAGGUGCGAAAGCGUGGGGAGCAAACAGG
rnacentral:rRNA from 1 species